rnacentral:rRNA from 1 species
GACGAACGCUGGCGGCGUGCCUAAUACAUGCAAGUUGAGCGAUGAAGAUUGGUGCUUGCACCAAUUUGAAGAGCAGCGCACGGGUGAGUAACGCGUGGGGAAUCUGCCUUUGAGCGGGGGACAACAUUUGGAAACGAAUGCUAAUACCGCAUAACAACUUUAAACAUAAGUUUUAAGUUUGAAAGAUGCACUUGCAUCACUCAAAGAUGAUCCCGCGUUGUAUUAGCUAGUUGGUGAGGUAAAGGCUCACCAAGGCGAUGAUACAUAGCCGACCUGCGGGGGGGAUCAGCCCCAAUGGGACUGGAACACGGCCCAAGAUCCUACGGGAAGCAACAAGAGGGGAACUUCGGGAAAUGACGGAAGGCUGACCGGGGAACGCCGGCGUAGGGAAUGAGGUUCUCGGGACGUAAAAAUCGUUUGAUAGGGAAGAACGUUAGUGGGAGUUAAAUACUCAUCAAGUGACGGUAACUACUCAGAAAGGGACGGCUAACUACGUG